GAUGAACGCUGGCGGCGUGCCUAAUACAUGCAAGUCGAGCGAACAGACGAGGAGCUUGCUCCUCUGACGUUAGCGGCGGACGGGUGAGUAACACGUGGAUAACCUACCUAUAAGACUGGGAUAACUUCGGGAAACCGGAGCUAAUACCGGAUAAUAUAUUGAACCGCAUGGUUCAAUAGUGAAAGACGGUUUUGCUGUCACUUAUAGAUGGAUCCGCGCCGCAUUAGCUAGUUGGUAAGGUAACGGCUUACCAAGGCAACGAUGCGUAGCCGACCUGAGAGGGUGAUCGGCCACACUGGAACUGAGACACGGUCCAGACUCCUACGGGAGGCAGCAGUAGGGAAUCUUCCGCAAUGGGCGAAAGCCUGACGGAGCAACGCCGCGUGAGUGAUGAAGGUCUUCGGAUCGUAAAACUCUGUUAUUAGGGAAGAACAAAUGUGUAGUAACUAUGCACGUCUUGACGGUACCUAAUCAGAAAGCCACGGCUAACUACGU
rnacentral:rRNA from 1 species